rnacentral:rRNA from 1 species
UACAGAGGUCCCAAGCGUUGUUCGGAUUCACUGGGCGUAAAGGGUGCGUAGGUGGUGAGGUAAGUCGGAUGUGAAAUCUCUGGGCUCAACCCGGAAAUGGCAUUGGAAACUACCUUGCUGGAGGAUUUGAGGGGGGAUUGGAAUACUUGGUGUAGCAGUGAAAUGCGCAGAUAUCAGGAGGAACACCGAUGGCGAAGGCAGGUCUCUGGGCCACUACUGACGCUGAGAAGCGAAAGCAUGGGGAGCGAACAGG